rnacentral:lncRNA from 1 species
GAUUCGCCGCUGGCGUCCUGGCUUCCAAUUGCGGCAGCCGCCUUGCCUUUCUGCCCCGGCUUCUCCCACCAUUCAGGAUAACCAACAAUCUUGAAGCAUGUCUCCUUGGUCUUCCUGUUGAUUCCCUUCCUACCAGACCCAGGCCGAUUUCAGAUGGCCUGUCAAUUUCAGUGGUACCAGGUUUCAGAAUAUUGAGUCUUGCUACUUCUCGCCGUACCGUCGCAUAUGCGGCUUCAACCGAAGGGAGAGGAUCCUUUUUUAAGAUGUCCCGCUUAAUUGGUUCCAACUUGUCAUCAAUGGCCGUUAACAGCUGAUAGAGUCUCUGCUCUUGAAUUUUGUUAUUGUAGAUUUGUAUGUCUUCAGCAUGUUUCAUCGGGUUCGGGUCUCUUCUGUCGAUGGUCAUCCAAAUUUUUUGUAAUUUGUUCCAGCAAUCUUCUAAGGUAUCUCUUCCUUGCCUCAAUGAAUUAGCCCUUUUGUGAAGAUCAAAUACCUGCAACGAGUCUGUUUCCGAACCAUAUGUAACUGCAAGACCAUCCCAAAGGGCCUUCGCAGUUGGAUACUGCGAGACAUUAUUCACCAAACUUGCAUCAAUAUUUUGGAUCAACCAUGUAAAAACACAUUGAUCAUCUUGUUCCCAUCGUGCAAACGUUGCAUC